rnacentral:rRNA from 1 species
GCGGUAAUUCAAGCUCCAAUAGCGUAUAUGUAAAUUGUUGCGGUUGAAAAGCUCGUAGUUGGACUUCUGGCGACUGCGUUCGGUCCGCCAAGCGCGUGCACUGUCCGCGGUCGUCGUUUCUGUCGACGUGGCGCGUCGGCCUUAGUUGGUCGGUGCGUCGUCUGUCGGCGAUGUUACUUUGAGGAAAUCAGAGUGCUCAAGGCAAGCGUUCGCUCGUGACUUCACUAGCAUGGAAUAACACAGAUGGGCUCUUUCUCGCACUGUUGGUCUGYGUCAAUUGAGCAACGAUCGAUAGAGACGGUCGGGGGCAUUCGUAUUGCGCAGUUAGAGGUGAAAUUCUCCGAUCUGCGCAAGACGCACUAAUGCGAAAGCAGUUGCCAAGGACGUCCUCUUAUGAUCAAGAGCGAAAGUCGGGGGAUCAAAGAUGAUUAGAUACCGUCGUAGUCCCGACCAUAAAUGAUGCCGACUGAGCUUCGGCGACUCGACCUCAGGUCGUACGUCGGCGCUCUUAGAGAAAUUAAAGUCUUUGGGCUCCGGGGGUAGUAUGGUCGCAAGUCUGAAACUUGAAGGAAUUGACGGAAGGGCACCACAAGGCGUGGAUGUUGCGGCUUAAUUUGACUCAACACGGGAAAGCUUACUAGGUUUGGACACCUUUGUGAUGGACAGAUUGAAGCUCUUACCCUACUGCGUGGAUGGUGGUGCAUGGUCGUUCUCAGCCCGUGGGUUGACCUGUCAGGUUUACUCCGGUAACGCGCGAGACCUCGGUCUGCUAAAUAGACGCGGCUGUUUCGGCACCCGCGCUCUUCUUAGAGAGAGACUCGACGAGAGUCGAGGGAAGUCGAGGCAAUAACAGAUCUGUGAUGCCCUUAGUUAUCCUAGGUCGCACGCGCCAUACAAUGUGGUGCACAACGAGUCUCCUUGGCCGACAGGAUCUGGGCAAUCUGGCAGAGCGCUACGUGACUGGGCUAGACUUUUGUAAUUUUUGGUCUUGAACGAGGAAUGCCUAGUAAUCGCAGGUCAGCAUCCUGCGAUGAUUCGGUCCCUGCCCUUUGUACACACCGCCCGUCGCUCCAUCCGUGGCAUGCGCCGGUGAAGAGGGGGAGGCAGCGUCGGCCGGGUAACACCGGAUCGUACGUGGAACCCCUCUGAACCUUCGCACGUAGAGGAAGGAGAAGUCGUAACAAGGUUUUCGUAGGUGAACCUGCGAAAGGAUCAUUAUCGGCAC